UAUUUUUGAGGUGAGAAAGGCUCCUCAUGCGCUAAAUCUAGUAAUCAGAGAUGCAGGAUACGCCGCCCUGCCAAAAAAU
rnacentral:ncRNA from 1 species